CCGCCAAGUCUGGGGCCAUUCCGAGUCCCGCGGACGAACGUCGCCCACGCCCCCCGCCAAGGCUAUAGCCCACCCUUUUUUUGGCCAUUUUUCCGCUGGGGGGUCUUGGGACCCUUGACCUUCGGGGGCUGAUUUUUGGGCGCGGCUGUGCCCGUGGCCUAUUUUUGGCACACGGAGGCCGCCCGCCAAGUAUGGUGCCAUUCCGAGUCCCGCGGACGAACGUCGCCCACGCCGCCCACCAAGGCUAUAGCCCACCCUUUUUUUGGCCAUUUUUCCGCUGGGGGGUCUUGGGACCCCGACCUUCGGGGGCUGAUUUUUGGGCGCGGCUGUGCCCGUGGCCUAUUUUUGGCACACGGAGGCCGCCCGCCAAGUCUGGUGCCAUUCCGAGUCCCGCGGACGAACUUCGCCCACGCCCCCCACCAAGGCUAUAGCCCACCCGUUUUUUGGCCAUUUUUCCGCUGGGGGGUCUUGGGACCCCGACCUUCGGGGGCUGAUUUUUGGGCGCGGCUGUGCCCGUGGCCUAUUUUUGGCACAUGGAGGCCGCCCGCCAAGUCUGGUGCCAUUCCGAGUCCCGCGGACGAACUUCGCCCACGCCGCCCACCAAGGCUAUAGCCCACCCGUUUUUUUGGCCAUUUUUCCGCUGGGGGGUCUUGGGACCCCGACCUUCGGGGN
rnacentral:lncRNA from 1 species